rnacentral:rRNA from 1 species
GAUGAACGCUGGCGGCGUGCCUAAUACAUGCAAGUCGAGCGAACAGACGAGGAGCUUGCUCCUCUGACGUUAGCGGCGGACGGGUGAGUAACACGUGGAUAACCUACCUAUAAGACUGGGAUAACUUCGGGAAACCGGAGCUAAUACCGGAUAAUAUAUUGAACCGCAUGGUUCAAUAGUGAAAGACGGUUUUGCUGUCACUUAUAGAUGGAUCCGCGCCGCAUUAGCUAGUUGGUAAGGUAACGGCUUACCACGGCAACGAUGCGUAGCCGACCUGAGAGGGUGAUCGGCCACACUGGAACUGAGACACGGUCCAGACUCCUACGGGAGGCAGCAGUAGGAAUCUUCCGCAAUGGGCGAAAGCCUGACGGAGCAACGCCGCGUGAGUGAUGAAGGUCUUCGGAUCGUAAAACUCUGUUAUUAGGGAAGAACAAAUGUGUAAGUAACUAUGCACGUCUUGACGGUACCUAAUCAGAAAGCCACGGCUAACUACGUG